rnacentral:lncRNA from 1 species
CUUGUAUGGAGCUAGAAUAUUUGUUUCACCUUGCUUUGAAGGUUGAGAAGCAACUGAAGAGAAAAGGUAACACAAGUCAUUUUUCUUCCAACACUUCAACAUGCAAAUAAAAUUGGAGGAAAUGUGAUAAGGCUUCGUCAUCCAAGCCUAAGGCAGAAUUGAAAGAGGUUCCUAAAGCACCCGUUUCUAGCAAAGAUAAGAGUAAGCUUGACUCCACUACUAACGCAAGAAAUAUUAAAUGUUUCUAGUGUCAAGGGGUCAUUACAAG